UGUCGUCUUUGGCAGGAAUGUCACUGGGUGACUUGAAAUAAAGCACUUGUUAAAGCGGAGCCAUCACAGCUACUGCAGUACCCAGGAAAUACCGGGACAGUUACAAACAGUGUUCUGCCUUUCAUUUUUGUUGCCAUUUAGAAGCUGCUUCCCAGUGAGAUGAAAUGAGAUUCCAGGACAUAGGUCCUCCUUUCCCUCUUUGGCAGGAAAGGCAUUCUCCCGAAAGUUCCAGGCGGAACAAGGACUAGAAGAAUGUAAUGGAGCAUGCAUCUG